CCGACCUUAGCUCAGUUGGCAGAGCGGAGGACUGUAGAUCCUUAGGUCGCUGGUUCGAAUCCGGCAGGUCGAU
rnacentral:tRNA from 1 species